rnacentral:rRNA from 1 species
UACAGAGGUCUCAAGCGUUGUUCGGAUUCAUUGGGCGUAAAGGGUGCGUAGGUGGCGGGGCAAGUCUGGUGUGAAAUCCCGGGGCUCAACCCCGGAACUGCACUGGAUACUGCCUUGCUAGAGCACUGGAGAGGGAACUGGAAUUUACGGUGUAGCAGUGGAAUGCGUAGAUAUCGUAAGGAAGACCAGUGGCGAAGGCGAGUUCCUGGACAGUUGCUGACACUGAGGCACGAAGGCUAGGGGAGCAAACGGG